rnacentral:rRNA from 1 species
AGGGACAAGCUCAAAUUUUAAAUCUGUUGGGUAUCACCUAACCGAGUUGUAAUUUGAAGAGGCGUUUUCAGCGUUUUUUGAUCAGUCCAAGUCCUUUGGGAUAAGGCAUCAUGGAGGGUGAGAAUCCCGUUCGGCUGAUCGAAGUUCGUUUUAUGAUACGUCUUCU